rnacentral:rRNA from 1 species
AUUGAACGCUGGCGGCAUGCUUUACACAUGCGAGUCGAACGGUAACAGGCCUUCGGGUGCUGACGAGUGGCGAACGGGUGAGUAAUGCAUCGGAACGUACCCAGAGGUGGGGGAUAACGCAGCGAAAGCUGUGCUAAUACCGCAUGUGAUCUGAGGAUGAAAGCGGGGGACCGAGCAGCAAUGUUUGGCCUCGCGCCUUUGGAGCGGCCGAUGUCGGAUUAGCUAGUUGGCGGGGUAAAGGCCUACCAAGGCGACGAUCCGUAGCUGGUCUGAGAGGACGACCAGCCACACUGGGACUGAGACACGGCCCAGACUCCUACGGGAGGCAGCAGUGGGGAAUUUUGGACAAUGGGCGCAAGCCUGAUCCAGCAAUGCCGCGUGCGGGAAGAAGGCCUUCGGGUUGUAAACCGCUUUUGGCAGGAACGAAACGGUGUCCGCUAAUACCGGGCGCUAAUGACGGUACCUGCAGAAUAAGCACCGGCUAACUACGUG